GAUGAACGCUGACAGAAUGCUUAACACAUGCAAGUCAACUUGAAUUUGGGUUUUUAACUUAGGUUUGGGUGGCGGACGGGUGAGUAACGCGUAAAGAACUUGCCUCACAGCUAGGGACAACAUUUGGAAACGAAUGCUAAUACCUAAUAUUAUGAUAAUAGGGCAUCCUAUAAUUAUGAAAGCUAUAAGCGCUGUGAGAGAGCUUUGCGUCCCAUUAGCUAGUUGGAGAGGUAACGGCUCACCAAGGCGAUGAUGGGUAGCCGGGCUGAGAGGGUGAUCGGCCACAAGGGGACUGAGACACGGCCCUUACUCCUACGGGAGGCAGCAGUGGGGAAUAUUGGACAAUGGACCGAGAGUCUGAUCCAGCAAUUCUGUGUGCACGAUGAAGUUUUUCGGAAUGUAAAGUGCUUUCAGUUGGGAAGAAACAAAUGACGGUACCAACAGAAGAAGUGACGGCUAAAUACGUG
rnacentral:rRNA from 1 species